CAGGUAAAUUGGUUGAACACAUUUAGGCACAGUGUGCAUACCAGGUAAAUCAGAUGAACACAUUUAGGCACAGUGUGCAUACCAGGUAAAUCGGAUGAACACAUUUAGGCACAGUGUGCAUACCAGGUAAAUCGGAUGAACACAUUUAGGCACAGUGUGCAUACCAGGUAAAUCGGAUGAACACAUUUAGGCACAGUGUGCAUACCAGGUAAAUCAGAUGAACACAUUU